AGUGAACGCUGGCGGUAGGCCUAACACAUGCAAGUCGAACGGCAGCACAGUAAGAGCUUGCUCUUACGGGUGGCGAGUGGCGGACGGGUGAGGAAUACAUCGGAAUCUACUUUUUCGUGGGGGAUAACGUAGGGAAACUUACGCUAAUACCGCAUACGACCUACGGGUGAAAGCAGGGGAUCUUCGGACCUUGCGCGAUUGAAUGAGCCGAUGUCGGAUUAGCUAGUUGGCGGGGUAAAGGCCCACCAAGGCGACGAUCCGUAGCUGGUCUGAGAGGAUGAUCAGCCACACUGGAACUGAGACACGGUCCAGACUCCUACGGGAGGCAGCAGUGGGGAAUAUUGGACAAUGGGCGCAAGCCUGAUCCAGCCAUAGCGCGUGGGUGAAGGAGGCCUUCGGGUUGUAAAGCCCUUUUGUUGGGAAAGAAAAGCAGCAGGUUAAGACCCCGCUGUUCUGACGGUACCCAAAGAAUAAGCACCGGCUAACUUCGUG
rnacentral:rRNA from 1 species